rnacentral:tRNA from 3 species
GGUCUACUAGCUCAGUCGGUUAGAGCGUCGUACUAAUAAUGCGAAGGUCACAGGUUCAAUCCCUGUGUGGACCA